UUUAAAUGCAUCGAUUUCAUUUUUCAUAAUUUUAUAUGUUUUUUUAUUUUUUUUACUAAAAUUUUUCUAUUAAAUUAGUUACAAAGUUAAAACUAAAAAGUAUUAAAGUAAAAAUUCGAUAAAUCUAAGUGGGAUAUCUGAAGUUUUUUAUAUAUAAUUUAACGAAAUGUUAAUAGAGUAGCUGACAAAAGAAGAAAAAUAAAACCACAGAGUAUUAAAUUGAUACACUUUAAAUCACGGGGUACUAAAGUAAGUAAAUGCGAAACCAACUGAGUGGUAUUUGAAGUUUGCCCUAAAUAUUAUAGAUAUUUAAUUUAUAUUUUUUUAAUCUAAUAAAUUUUAUUAUUUAAGUAUUUAAUAAUAAACUUAUUGGUUUAAUCUAAUUGGUUUGGGUA
rnacentral:lncRNA from 1 species